ACCUGUGAAUAUGUUACCUCAUAUGGCUAAAGGGACAUGAUUUUUAAAAGCAGAGAAAGUUUCUUGGCUAUAGUCAGAAGAAGAUGUCAUGAUGGAAGACGAGUCAGAGAGAUGUGACAUUGUUGACUUUGAAGAUGGAGCAAUGGACCAUAAGUCAAGCAAUGCAGAUAGCCUCUAGAAGCCUGAAAGAAUAAAGAAACUGAUUCUCCCCUGGAGCCUCUGGAAAGGAACUCAGCCCUGCUAACACCCUUGAUCUUUAGCCCAGUGAGACCCAUGUCUGACUUCUAACCUCUGGAACAAUAAGGACUGUGCCCUUGCUGAGAACGGGAGCUCCAGCAGAAGAUCCAUCAAGACUCCACUCCAAAGUGCAUGUGGUGACUGUCAGAUCGGCCCCUCAGAAGGGCAGAAUGAAGCCCUCCUCUGCUGAGUACUGAAGAAACUUCGCCCAGCCCCAUUCAUCCCAAAGACUGCUUGACUAGACACUGUUCAUCCUCAGCUAAUAAAAAGAAAUCAAUUGAAGUUAUAAUCCUGUCGAGUCCUCCAAGAAGCAAGCCAUCAGAGAGGACAAAUCUUGAGAUGUGUCUGUCCUUGGAAAACUGGGUCGAACUCAAGGAAAACACUCAUUCUCCUGAGACAAUACCUCUCUGGCAAAGCUGCCUCCCACCCUGAAUAAAUGCAAACAUGCCAACUGCAUUGGAGACAUUGCAUGCCAACUGUCCGUUUGGAGAUAUUCCUCUCGUUUUAGACACAAUGAGAACACCAUGUGACUGUGUGCUUCAAAGCAUGACAUGCAGGCCGGAUCUCAAACUCAGGGUCAGCCACAGAGACAAGACACUCAUCAGCUCAGGACACACUUCCUUCGGCCAACAUUGUACCAGGAUGUGUAGAGCCUAGUGCUUUCUCAGAACAGCCCAUGGAAGCAAAGCAAGGCGGCCUAUCACCUUCUGGCUGUGGCACCUACUUUCUAGGGGCCUCAGGUUUGUAUAAAAAGAAGA